rnacentral:rRNA from 1 species
UGAGGAAUAUUGGUCAAUGGGCGAGAGCCUGAACCAGCCAAGUAGCGUGCAGGAUGACGGCCCUAUGGGUUGUAAACUGCUUUUAUAUGGGAAUAAAGUGAGGGACGUGUCCCUUAUUGCAUGUACCAUAUGAAUAAGGACCGGCUAAUUCCGUGCCAGCAGCCGCGGUAAUACGGAAGGUCCAGGCGUUAUCCGGAUUUAUUGGGUUUAAAGGGAGCGUAGGCUGUUUGUUAAGCGUGUUGUGAAAUGUAAGAGCUCAACUUUUAGAUUGCAGCGCGAACUGGCAGACUUGAGUGCGCACAACGUAGGCGGAAUUCAUGGUGUAGCGGUGAAACGCUUAGAUAUCAUGACGAACUCCGAUUGCGAAGGCAGCUUACGGGAGCGCAACUGACGCUAAAGCUCGAAGGUGCGGGUAUCGAACAGG